rnacentral:rRNA from 1 species
UGCCAGCAGCCGCGGUAAUACGAAGGGUGCUAGCGUUGUUCGGAAUUACUGGGCGUAAAGGGCGUGUAGGCGGUAUGAUAAGUUAGACGUGAAAGCCCCGGGCUUAACCUGGGAACUGCGUUUAAAACUAUUGUACUUGAAUCCCGGAGGGGAGUGCGGAAUUUCUAGUGUAGAGGUGGAAUUCGUAGAUAUUUGGAAGAACACCAGUGGCGAAGGCGGCUCUCUGGUCCACAUCUGACGCUGAGGCGCGAAAGCGUGGGGAGCAAACAGGAUUAGAUA